CAUACGGUUGUAGGUUCGUAACAUUAUACUUGUGUACUCAAAUUUUGUUAUAAUUAGCUAGUACAACUUCUUAAAUAAUUUGUUGCCACAGGUGGGUGGUUCCCAGACUAACACAUGCGCAUACAGCGAGAGGUCUUCUCUACUACCGUGACGCCCUCGAUCGACUCUCGGAUGAACAGAUGACAUGGGAUCCCUAUUCUGCUGUGUUGGUAGAGGCCAUGCCGGAACACUUGCUCGAGCAUCGUGCUGAGUGGCUUGCCAGGACCCCCAUGAUCUGUUUUGAGGUCGUGGAGAGCCACCUACCGGACGGAGUGUUGCGACAGUUCGGACUUCACCAGCCUAUCCCCAUGCCCUGUGACACUAGUAUUCGCCUCCACGGCAUUGACCGUCGUGGAAAGUUGGAGACAAACUGGUCACUGGAGCAUCAUCAAUUCAUUGAGCUUUGGGACCAGCGGUUGGAGUCUAUCGUUGACGGUCACCUGUUUCAGGGUGUUAUGGAUCCGCGUGAUCCUUACAUGGUAUGGUACAGGCAGAUUACACGCCUUUUCAUCAACCCUACCUACACCCCACCGUCCACGCACUACUAUCCAGCUUAUGAUGUUAUCAGCGGACUUGUGAGUUUUUUCAGUUUCUUGUUUUCCAAAAUUAUUUGAAAUUCUAUAUCAUAUUACUAAUUCAUGGAUGAUUACUGCAGGCGGGGGAUAUGGGUGCGAUGGUUGAUGCACUUUCAGAUGCCUUAGCAGCCUUACCCACCAGAGCCCAGGUUGAGCGGGUGCGAGAUAUGGGCAUACAUAGCUUGCAGAGAUAUGGCCAUGGCCAUCUCGUCCACCCCAGGGACGAUCAUGACCCCAACUCCUUCCAUUCACAGUUCGACUUCGAACAGAGUAGUGGUGGAGGUCAUACUUCGGGCUCUACACAGGCAGAGGAUUACUUCAUCCAUAACACCGCUCCCGGCCACAGCCAGGGUGACUCAUCGUCUCGCCAGCUGACUCCUCCAUCGUCCCGAGACCCAUUCACCACCAUUCAGCGAUCAAAAUACGAAUGAAAUCAAAAAGGCCAUCAUUAAGGUUAG